rnacentral:tRNA from 1 species
GCUGGUUAGGUGUAGGUAUUUACAUGUCAAUUUUUCGUAUUGGAGUGGAUUGUUUUAAUCAUCCAGUG